GGGAAUUAGCUCAGUUGGGAGAGCACUUGCUUUGCAAGCAAGGGGUCAGGGGUUCGAAUCCCCUAUUCUCC
rnacentral:tRNA from 1 species